CGUUAAACCACCGGUUCUCGUACGAUGACUGAAGUUAAGCAACGUCGAGCCUGGUCAGUACCUAGAUGGGUGACCGUUUGGGAAUACCAGGAGCUGUUA
rnacentral:rRNA from 1 species